UCCUACGGGGCGCAGCAGUGGGGAAUAUUGCACAAUGGGGGAAACCCUGAUGCAGCGACGCCGCGUGAGUGAUGAAGUAUUUCGGUAUGUAAAGCUCUAUCAGCAGGGAAGAUAAUGACGGUACCUGACUAAGAAGCUCCGGCUAAAUACGUGCCAGCAGCCGCGGUAAUACGUAUGGAGCAAGCGUUAUCCGGAUUUACUGGGUGUAAAGGGAGCGCAGACGGCAGGGCAAGUCUGAUGUGAAAGAUUGGGGCUCAACCCCAGGCCUGCAUUGGAAACUGUAAAGCUGGAGUACAGGAGAGGUA
rnacentral:rRNA from 1 species